AUUGAACGCUGGCGGCAGGCCUCACACAUGCAAGUCGAGCGAGCGGCGGACGGGUGCGUAAUGCCUGGGAAUUUCCCAGUCGAGGGGGAUAACAGUUGGAAACGACUGCUAAUACCGCAUACGAUUGGAUUGCCCAGGUGGGAUUAGCUAGUUGGUGAGGUAAUGGCUACACAAGGCGACGAUCCCUAGCUGGUCUGAGAGUGUUAUAAGCAACACUGGAACUGAGACACGGUCCAGACUCCGACGAGAGGCAGCAGUGGGGAAUAUUGCGCAAUGGGGGAAACCCUGAUGCAGCCAUGCCGCGUGAGUGAAGAAGGCCUUCGGGUUGUAAAGCACUUUCAGCGAGGAGGCGUUACUCGCAGAAGAAGCACCGGCUAACUCCGUGCCAGCAGCCGCGGUAAUUC
rnacentral:rRNA from 1 species